GCAAGUCGAACGAGAAAGCACCUUCGGGUGUGAGUAGAGUGGCGCACGGGUGAGUAACACGUAGGUGACCUACCUUUUAGUGGGGGAUAACUCCGAGAAAUUGGAGCUAAUACCGCAUACGAUAAACGAAAUUGAAAAAGUUUAUGAAAGGAUGCCUCUCCUUGGAAGCAUUCACUGAAAGAUGGGCCUGCGGAGCAUUAGCUUGUUGGUGGGGUAAUGGCCUACCAAGGCGACGAUGCUUAGCUGAUCUGAGAGGAUGAUC
rnacentral:rRNA from 1 species